UCAAGUUAUUAAGGGUGCAGGGCGGAUGCCUUGGCACUAGGAGCCGAUGAAGGACGUGAUAAGCUGCGAUAAGCUUCGGGGAGUUGCACGUAAACUUUGAUCCGAAGAUUUCCGAAUGAGGAAACUCACUUAGAGUAAUGUCUAAGNNNNNNNNNNNNNNNNNACUUUGAAAACUGCAUAUAUAUUUAGUGAUAUGACAUCUAAUUUGUAAUAUAUAAAGCUGAUAACUUUUUAAAAUUAUCGAAGUUGAUAGCUUCUAAUCUAUCAAACCUUUUUAACUGGUCAAGUUAUUAAGGGUGCAGGGCGGAUGCCUUGGCACUAGGAGCCGAUGAAGGACGUGAUAAGCUGCGAUAAGCUUCGGGGAGUUGCACGUAAACUUUGAUCCGAAGAUUUCCGAAUGAGGAAACUCACUUAGAGUAAUGUCUAAGUAUCAUUAAGUGAAUACAUAGCUUAAUGAGGGGAACUCAGGGAACUGAAACAUCUAAGUACCUGAAGGAAGAGAAAGAAAUUCGAUUCCGUAAGUAGCGGCGAGCGAACGCGGAUUAGCCCAAACCAAUAAAGUUUUCUUUAUUGGGGUUGCGGACAUAUCAUAACGAAGAGGUAUCGUAAUUGAAGAGGUUUGGAAAGACCCACCACAGAAGGUAAUAGUCCUGUAUGUUAAACGAGAAGACUUCAGAUAUGAUCCAGAGUACCACGGGACACGUGAAACCCUGUGGGAAGCAGGAGGGACCACCCUCCAAGGCUAAAUACUACCUAGUGACCGAUAGCGUAUAGUACCGUGAGGGAAAGGUGAAAAGAACCCCGGGAGGGGAGUGAAAUAGAACCUGAAACCCUGCACUUACAAGCUGUGGAAGCACAUUUCUUGUGUGACCGCGUACUUUUUGUAGAACGGGCCAACGAGUUACGUUAAGUAGCAAGGUUAAGCACUUAAGGUGCGGAGCCGUAGCGAAAGCGAGUUUUAACUGAGCGUUCAGUUACUUGACGUAGACCCGAAACCGGGCGACCUACCCAUGAGCAGGAUGAAGCGAAAGUAAAAUUUCGUGGAGGUCCGAACCCACGAGCGUUGAAAAGCUCGGGGAUGACUUGUGGGUAGCGGUGAAAUUCCAAUCGAGCCCGGAGAUAGCUGGUUCUCCCCGAAAUAGCUUUAGGGCUAGCCUCAAGGUGAGAGAUACGGAGGUAGAGCACUGAAUGUCCUAGGGGGUAUUGCACCUACCGAAGACUAUCAAACUCCGAAUGCCGUCAUCUUAUACUUGGGAGUCAGACUGUGGGUGAUAAGAUUCAUAGUCGAAAGGGCAACAGCCCAGAUCGUCAGCUAAGGUCCCUAAAUGUAAGUUAAGUGGUAAAGGAUGUGGGAUUGCACAGACAACCAGGAUGUUGGCUUAGAAGCAGCCACUCAUUCAAAGAGUGCGUAAUAGCUCACUGGUCGAGUGAUCCUGCGCCGAAGAUUUCCGGGGCUAAAACUUACUACCGAAGCUACGGCAUCAGUAAUGAUGGGUAGGGGAGCUUCCCAUACGGGUUGAAGCAUGACCGUAAGGACAUGUGGACAGUAUGGGAGUGAGAAUGUUGGCAUGAGUAGCGAGAUGUGGGUGAGAAUCCCACAGGCCGUAAACCCAAGGUUUCCAGGGGAAGGUUCGUCCGCCCUGGGUUAGUCGGGACCUAAGCUGAGGCCGAAAGGCGUAGGUGAUGGACAACAGGUUGAUAUUCCUGUACUACCGAUAACCGUUUGAGAGAAGGGAUGACACAGUAGGAUAAGCUAAGCACACUGUUGGUUAUGUGUGCCCAAGCAUUGAGGCAGUCAAAGUAGGCAAAUCCGCUUUGAUAAUGCUGGGAUGUGAUGGGGAGCGAAAUUUAGUAGCGAAGUAGCUGAUUUCACACUGUCAAGAAAAGUCUCUAUCGAGGUUAAAGGUACCCGUACCGCAAACCGACACAGGUGGGUGAGGAGAGUAUCCUAAGGCCAGCGAGAGAACUGUUGUUAAGGAACUCGGCAAAAUGACCCCGUAACUUAGGGAUAAGGGGUGCCACCAUCAGGUGGCCGCAGAGAAUAGGCCCAAGCGACUGUUUACCAAAAACAUAGGUUUCUGCUAAGUCGCAAGACGAUGUAUAGGAGCUGACGCCUGCCCGGUGCUGGAAGGUUAAGGGGAUCUGUUAGAGCAAUCGAAGCAGUGAACUUAAGCCCCAGUAAACGGCGGCCGUAACUAUAACGGUCCUAAGGUAGCGAAAUUCCUUGUCGGGUAAGUUCCGACCCGCACGAAAGGCGUAACGAUUUGGGCACUGUCUCAACAACAGACUCGGUGAAAUUGUAAUUCCGGUGAAGAUGCCGGAUACCUGCGACAGGACGGAAAGACCCCAUGGAGCUUUACUGUAGCUUGACAUUGGGUCUUGGUACUACAUGUACAGGAUAGGUGGGAGGCUUUGAAACCAGGACGCCAGUUUUGGCGGAGCCAUCCUUGGGAUACCACCCUUGUAGUACUGGGACUCUAACCAUAGGCCAUGAAUCUGGUCUUGGGACACUGUCAGGUGGGCAGUUUGACUGGGGCGGUCGCCUCCCAAAAGGUAACGGAGGCGCUCAAAGGUUCUCUCAGUACGGUCGGAAAUCGUACGUAGAGUGUAAAGGCAAAAGAGAGCUUGAUUGCAAGACAUACAGGUCGAGCAAGGAUGAAAAUCGGACUUAGUGAUCCGGUGGUUCUGCGUGGAAGGGCCAUCGCUCAACGGAUAAAAGCUACCCUGGGGAUAACAGGCUUAUCUCCCCCAAGAGUCCACAUCGACGGGGAGGUUUGGCACCUCGAUGUCGGCUCAUCACAUCCUGGGGCUGUAGUAGGUCCCAAGGGUUGGGCUGUUCGCCCAUUAAAGUGGUACGCGAGCUGGGUUCAGAACGUCGUGAGACAGUUCGGUCCCUAUCCGUCGCAGGCGUAGGAAAUUUGAGAAGACCUGUCCUUAGUACGAGAGGACCGGGAUGGACGUACCUCUGGUGUACCAGUUGUCCUGCCAAGGGCAUGGCUGGGUAGCUAUGUACGGAAUGGAUAAGCGCUGAAAGCAUCUAAGCGCGAAGCCAACUUCAAGAUAAGAUUUCCCACCGCAAGGGUAAGACCCCAGAAAGACUAUCUGGUUGAUAGGUCGAAGGUGUAAGUGCAGCAAUGUAUUUAGCUUAUCGAUACUAAUAGGUCGAGGACUUGACCAA
rnacentral:rRNA from 1 species